rnacentral:lncRNA from 1 species
CUGACCAACCGAAAAAACUCCUAUAGCAAAAAUGAUAGAAGGAACCAGAAGUUUAAGGAAGCUAAGCGGUUCUUCAGUAAAUCCUCAGUUACCUCAGCAGCUGCAUUAAGUGCAUUGGCAGGAGUUCAGGACUAGCUCAUUUAAAAGAGGGAGCCAGCAGUAGGUAUUGGAAAUCUAUCUCCAGACUUCCACAAUCAGGAAAAUGAGCCCAGCCAGGAGGACCCUGAGGAUCUGGGUGGAUCUGUGCAGGGAAUGAAACCUCAGAAGGCUGCUUCCUCUACUUCCUCAGGGAGUCACCACAGCAGCCAUAAAAAGUGAAAGAAUAAA